GAUCAUUACCGAGUGCGGGUCCCCCCUGUCCGCAGGGGGACAACAUGGCCCAACCUCCCCACCCGUGAAUACCGUACCUUCUGUUGCUUCGGCGCGGCCUGCCCCCCGCGGGCGGCCCGCCGGAGACCGCCCUUUUCGAAUGCUGUCAUCUGGAAAACAGUUUGCAGUCUGAGUUGGGCAGUCAUGCCAAAACAAAAAUUCAAUUAAAACUUUCAACAACGGAUCUCUUGGUUCCGGCAUCGAUGAAGAACGCAGCGAAAUGCGAUAAGUAAUGUGAAUUGCAGAAUUCAGUGAAUCAUCGAAUCUUUGAACGCACAUUGCGCCCCCUGGUAUUCCGGGGGGCAUGCCUGUCCGAGCGUCAUUACUGCCCCUCAAGCACGGCUUGUGUGUUGGGCCGCCGUCCCUCCCCUCCCUUCCUGGGGCGAGGGGGACGGGCCCGAAAGGCAGUGGCGGCGCCGCGUCCGAUCCUCGAGCGUAUGGGGCUUUGUCACCCGCUCUGGAGGUUGGACCGGGGCCACGCCUCAUCGUGUGGACACCUCUUGAGGUUCCUCCUUUCUCUCUAAGGUUGACCUCGGAUCAGGUAGGGAUACCCGCUGAACUUAAGCAUAUCAAUAAGCGGAGGAAAAGAAACCAACCGGGAUUGCCUCAGUAACGGCGAGUGAAGCGGCAAGAGCUCAAAUUUGAAAGCUGGCCCCCUGCGGGGUCCGCGUUGUAAUUUGCAGAGGAUGCUUCGGGCACGGCCCCCGUCUAAGUGCUCUGGAACGGGCCGUCGGAGAGGGUGAGAAUCCCGUCUGGGACGGGGAGUCCGGGUCCGUGUGAAGCUCCUUCGACGAGUCGAGUUGUUUGGGAAUGCAGCUCUAAAUGGGUGGUAAAUUUCAUCUAAAGCUAAAUACUGGCCGGAGACCGAUAGCGCACAAGUAGAGUGAUCGAAAGAUGAAAAGCACUUUGAAAAGAGAGUUAAACAGCACGUGAAAUUGUUGAAAGGGAAGCGCUUGCGAUCAGACUCGCCCGCGGGGUUCAGCCGGCAUUCGUGCCGGUGUACUUCCCCGUGGGCGGGCCAGCGUCGGUUCGGGUGGCCGGUCAAAGGCCCCGGGAAUGUAUCGCCCUCCGGGGCGUCUUAUAGCCCGGGGUGCCAUGCGGCCUGCCUGGACCGAGGAACGC
rnacentral:rRNA from 1 species